rnacentral:misc_RNA from 1 species
GCAGAUAUUCCGUGAUCAUCCGAAUCCUUUUGAACGCACAUUUGCGCCCUUCUGGUAUUCCGGAGGGCAUGCCUGUCUUGAGCGUCGUUCUCUCCCUCAAACCGCUGGGUUUGGUGUUGAGCAAUACGACUUGGGUUUGCUUGAAAGACGGUAGUGGUAAGGCGGGAUCGCUUUGACAAUGGCUUAGGUCUAACCAAAAACAUUGCUUGCGGCGGUAACGUCCACCACGUAUAUCUUCAAACUUUGACCUCAAAUCAGGUAGGACUACCCGCUGAACUUAAGCAUAUAUAAGCCGGAGGAA